UACGGAGGGUGGCAAGCGUUGUCCGGAUUUAUUGGGUUUAAAGGGUGCGUAGGCGGCUUUAUAAGUCCGUGGUGAAAUACGACAGCUUAACUGUCGAGGUGCCAUGGAUACUGUUAAGCUUGAGUACAGUCGAGGUAUGCGGAAUGGACAGUGUAGCGGUGAAAUGCUUAGAUAUUGUCCAGAACACCAAUAGCGAAGGCAGCAUACCAGAGUGUAACUGACGCUGAGGCACGAAAGUGUGGGGAUCAAACAGG
rnacentral:rRNA from 1 species